rnacentral:lncRNA from 1 species
CUGUAUUAUCAACAUAAACAUAAUUUAACAUAUAAAGUUCAUUGUUAAAAGAAGAAAUAUAUUUCAUUAAGCAUUUCUUGGGUACAGUACAUCAUGCAAUUCCAUGAGGAAAAAUGUAUGCAUAUGUAUGUAUUACUGUGCUACCAUCCUGUCCCCUACACAACAAGAGUUUGCUGAUUUACAAAUAGAUAAACUCAACAUAUAUGGUUUUGUUAACCAAAUUCAUUCAUUUCUUUCACUACCAACAUUUCUUUUAAACAUCAGUGUUAAAACAGCAUAGUGCAAUCAGGCAAAUUUUCAUGAAAACAUAUAUCCAUACCGGCAUUUGAUAAUGUACAUUGAUGUUUUUUUCCAUAUUUGUUUAGAAUACUAUUUUAUUGAAAAUUAACAAAUGUUGUUCUACUACAAUGAAGUUAAAGGAAGAUAAAUCAAAUAAAAAUAAAUGUACCAUCUGUAAUUCAGAGUUUAAUUGAAAUUUCAAAUUGCAAAUCUUUACCCUUUACUGCUACCAAGCACUUUGAUAAAAUAUAAAGCUUUUUUAGAUAACAAUGGCUCGAGGGCUGAUAUUGACCGAGGGCUGAUAAUACAUGCGAUAUGAAAAAUGACAUGUUAUGAUCUUUUUAUCAUAUGCUUCAACAAUGGAGAAAAAUCACAGAUUCAUAUAUUGAUCCUUUGACGUGGUUCCCAAAUAGAAGUUCAAAGAGUGAAAAGUUCACGGACAUCGGAUCCCAAAUUUAGUACAUUCGAUAUGAAAUCUAUCUAUCAGAUGCAUCAACAGAAAAAAAAAUAUAUUUUAAUAUGGACGAAACGACAAAAGAAAUGAUUCAAAAAUAUACAUAAUGAACACUGUUUGAAAAAGUAAACUUUUUUAACGUAACUUUCUAAAUUAUGUUUGAAACUUUUAAAAAAUGCAUUUAUUUAAUAAUUUGAUUUGAUUUUUUUUUUUUAUUAUUUUACAAAAUAUACUUUCCAGUAUCCAAAUAAUUGUUUUGUUAAUAAAAUUGAGAUCGUACACUACUUUGUAAGUUUUUUUAGUGAAAAUGUAGCAUUGAGGUAUAUUUUCCGGAAUUUGCCGAGUAUCACCGGAAUGCCAUGCGAUAACGUUACGGAAAGGCAUGUGAUAACACUCGAAGCAUGUGAUAAACUUUUCAUAUCAGCCCGCUAAGCACCAAUUCGAAAAAUAUGGAAUUUACGUUGAUUUAAUGCUAUUAUCAUACAGUAAAAAUCAUAUGUUAUUUAGUCUAAGUAUAUGAUAACCAUUUGUAUUUAACAAUAUAGUAGUACUGAAAUGUAAAAUAAGUACAUUUAUGAUCACUUUUAAAAAAAAUACUGAUUUUUAUGUCUAUUCUCUAUUUUUCAUACUGUAAAACCAAGUUAUUCUCACAGAACUUUUUUUUUAUUCCUUUUUCAGAACUUUCCAGCUGAUUUUGUGGCUAUUCCUUUCAACAUUCCCUUUUAUUCUUGAUGAAUCUAUAUAUUUAUUGGGAAGAUGAUAUUUUUACAGAUUUGUGUUGAUUGAUAUUUCUAUUUGCAUACCUUGGAAAAAAUCAAUACCUUGCAAAACAAAUUGUUGGUUUAAAGUAUGUAAUUGAAAACAGUUUGGUUUUGGUUAAACUGGUAUUUAUGAACAUCUUUAAUAGAAACAAUGAAUGAAUGAAAAUAUACCAUCAUUACAUGAUCUCAUAAGUCAAAUUACAUUUUAAAGAGAAAGAAUUAAGAUACACUGUACACUACAUUGACUACAAUAUUAUUUUUUUAUUAUUAUUUCAUGAGUAUUUCCAUUACUAUGUCA